AGUGGGCUGUCUGAGUGGCUUAAGGAGCUCGCCUGGAAAGCGUGUAACGGUUUAUACCCGUUCUAGGGUUCGAAUCCCUAGCCCACUGCCA
rnacentral:tRNA from 1 species